CGGGUGACCGAGCAUCCGGGAGACGCCGGCAGUCACCUAGCGCCGGAUGGGAGGGAUUGCGUGAGGACAAAGUUCUGCAGGAGGGCUGAUAUAACGCUCUGGGACAGCAAGGUGGUGGAUAAACCUCAGGAAGAUUCAGAAAGCAGGGUGACACUGCCUUGAAGAACACCAAAUAACAUCUCCAAUUUCCCUGUAAAUCAGCUGCCUUGAGAACCCACACUCACAUUUCAUUGGUGACCUGCUUUGGAUUUAUCCCCAGGAAAAAUCAACAUGCGCUGAAUUGUCUAUAAUCCUUCCACAGAUGGAGGGGGUUGAACGAGCUGGGAUUUUGUUGCUUUGUUGAGAUGAAAUGUAAUUACCUUAUGGGGUUUUGCAUGGUGUGUUAAAUUCUGCCAGUAUUAAAGCGUGAUACAAGCUGUAGAACUGUGCUGCUUGCUGAAGAUUUAUGGAAUAAAAGGUAUAAUUUCACGCUUCACUGCAUUUCAUUUUGA
rnacentral:lncRNA from 12 species